UACGUAGGGGGCAAGCGUUGGUCCGGAAUCAUUGGGCGUAAAGCGCGUGUAGGCGGUCCGGUAAGUCCGCUGUGAAAGUCGGGGGCUCAACCCUCGGAUGCCGGUGGAUACUGUCGGGCUUGAGUACGGAAGAGGCGAGUGGAAUUCCUGGUGUAGCGGUGAAAUGCGCAGAUAAUCAGGAGGAACACCAAUUGCGAAGGCAGCUCGCUGGGACGUUACUGACGCUGAGACGCGAAAGCGUGGGGAGCAAACGG
rnacentral:rRNA from 1 species